rnacentral:rRNA from 1 species
AAUCGUUUAAAGAAAUGAUUCAUCAAUAACGAAUCACCAUUGAUAUCGACACAUCUGAGAUCGUCAAAUGUUCGAGAGUCCUCUAUUUAAUCCUUUCAAGAGAAAAAUAGCUCGGAUCACCAGCUAAGGUCUUAAAUGACCAUUCAGUGAUAAAGGAUGUAGGGGUGCAGAAACAACCAGGAAGUUUGCUUUAUAAGCAGCCACCCUUGAAAGAGUGCGUGAUAACUCACUGAUCGAACGCUUUUGCAUUGAAGAUGAACGAGGCUAAGCAAUCUACCGAAGCUGUGGGAUGUUAAAAUGCAUUGGUA